rnacentral:rRNA from 1 species
AUUCCAGCUCCAAUAGCGUAUAUUAAAGCUGUUGCAGUUAAAAAGCUCGUAGUUGGAUUUGUGGUGUACUUCGGCGGCCCGUCACUAUGUGAUGGAGCUUGCUGAAGUCGCCAUCCUUGGGUGGAUCCUGUGUGGCAUUAAGUUGUCGUGCAGGGGAUGCCCAUCGUUUACUGUGAAAAAAUUAGAGUGUUCAAAGCAGGCUUAUGCCGUUGAAUAUAUUAGCAUGGGAUAAUAAGAUAGGACCUUGGUACUAUUUUGUUGGUUUGCGCACCAAGGUAAUGAUUAAUAGGGACAGUUGGGGGUAUUCGUAUUUCAUUGUCAGAGGUGAAAUUCUUGGAUUUUUGAAAGACGAACUACUGCGAAAGCAUUUACCAAGGAUGUUUUCAUCG